rnacentral:tRNA from 1 species
UCCGAUAUGGUGUAGUGGCCAACAUGAUGCCCUCUCAUUAUGUGUAAGGUUAGGCAUAGCCCCGAGUUCGAUUCUCGGUUUCGGAA